UAAUACCCUAUAGGUUACGGGUGCUGGAAUGCCCUGUAACCGAAAGUUCCGACGCCUUAGGAUGGAUCUGCGGCCGAUUAGGUUGUUGUCGGGGUAAUGGCCCAACAAGCCAGUGAUCGGUACGGGUUGUGGGAGCAAGAGCCCGGAGUUGGAUUCUGAGACACGAAUCCAGGCCCUACGGGGCGCAGCAGGCGCGAAAACUUUACAAUGCGGGCAACCGUGAUAAGGGAACCUCGAGUGCCUGUGUAUGCAGGCUGUCCAGGUGUCUAAAGCACACCUGAAGAAAGGGCCGGGCAAGACCGGUGCCAGCCGCCGCGGUAAUACCGGCGGCUCGAGUGGUGGCCACUUUUAUUGGGCUUAAAGCGUUCGUAGCUGGGUUGUUAAGUCUCUUGGGAAAUCCGACGGCUCAACCGUCGGGCGUCUAAGGGAUACUGGCAUUCUUGGAACCGGGAGAGGUGAGGGGUACUUCGGGGGUAAGAGUGAAAUCCUGUAAUCCUCGAGGGACCACCUGUGGCGAAGGCGCCUCACCAGAACGGCUUCGACAGUGAGGGACGAAGUCUGGGGGAACAAACCGGAUUAAAUACCCGGGUAGUCCCAGCCGUAAACAAUGCUCGUUUAGUGU
rnacentral:rRNA from 1 species